GACACAGUCAACCCCAUGCUUGUCAGAAUCACUGACUGGGUUUAUUUCUUCUCUGUCUCUUGUUCCUGUGUCUCCGCCCUCCCCAUCCCUUCUAUCGCCCCCUCUCCUUCCAACACUUCACAGGGUCCUCAAGCACUCAGUGGAUGCCACUUUUGAGAACCAGGGCCCCAGCCCCGGGUACCGCAUGGAAAUGUCCAUCUUCUACGUGGUCUACUUUGUGGUGUUUCCCUUCUUCUUUGUCAAUAUCUUUGUGGCCUUGAUCAUCAUCACCUUCCAGGAGCAGGGAGACAAGAUGAUGGAAGAAUACAGCCUAGAGAAAAAUGAGGUACCGCUGCCUAGCUGUGUCCCUGCUAAGAGUACACGCAGCCCACUUUCAUAUUCAUCCCCCC
rnacentral:lncRNA from 1 species